UACGUAGGGCGCAAGCGUUGUCCGGAAUUAUUGGGCGUAAAGAGCUCGUAGGUGGUGUGUCGCGUCUGCCGUGAAAGCCCGGGGCUUAACUCGGGGCCUGCAGGCGAAACUGCCGUGCUGGAGUGCGGAAGAGGUGAGUGGAAUUCCGGGUGUAGCGGUGGAAUGCGUAGAGAUCCGGAAGAACACCGGUGGCGAAGGCGGUCUGCUGGGCCAAGACUGACGCUGAGGCGCGACAGCGUGGGGAGCAAACAGG
rnacentral:rRNA from 1 species